UUCAAUCUCGGAAAAUCUAAACCAACUAUGGAUUUUCAGGAGGCUGAGGGAGACGAAUCGUCAUGAAGAACCUCGAUGUCAAGCUUUGAUUGCGUUGUUUAGUCGUUCGUUCGUCUCCUACGAAACGUUACGAGAGCUAUUGAUUCAUCCACUUUAACCAAUUUGAUAACUCCAUCGGCGCAAAUCAAGCACACUUUCUCAUUCAAUGCUACAUAUACCUCUUCUAGGCGGUGUAUCUCAACCUAUAAAAAAUUAAGCCUUCUUCCCUAUCAUUCUCACCAGUGAUAGCUCCAACAAAUCAUUUUCCCUUUAAUGGCUACCAUCUAUUUUGCUGAUUUGAAGGCUGGCCUCUGUUCUUCCACCGUGGGACUGCUCAGAUUAUGGGAAGCAAGAAAUGUAUAUGUUCUUCCUAGAUGCAAAGAUAUUUAUCAAGUUUCUUCUCAAGGCAGGUUCAAUGUAUUCGCUAAGCGGAUUUGAUGUGACUCGGUCAGAAACUCAGGAUGUUCUGCAAUCACAGUGAGAUGCUUGGUUACUUUUACAAGCAAAUUUCUUGGCUGGUUCACAAUGACACGGGGAAUACAUCAGCAGCAUCAUUGCUGAGGGGCUAUGCCAAGGUGUACCAAGAAGCUUCAACGAAUGUCUCAGCCUAUACUUGAUUGACCUGCAACAACUCUAAUGAUGUUGGUGUCCUCCCGUAUUAUGAUAUUUUAAUUCAAAUGCACUUCAUGUCCACACACACAAAGAUAAGACUUACUUUGAUACACUUUAUAUAUCGUUUAUACUAUUGCUGAUGAGACUGCUGAAGGUCUAUCUGUUGGUUUUGAUAGGGAAAUGACAAAAUUACAUCACAUCAAAGCCUAUGAAGCUGGUCAUUUAUUGGUUACUAGGCUGCAGAUGGUGUGAAUCCGGAGGAGACUCUGCUUCCCUUUUAUCGUAGACAUGGUUGGCAAGACGAUGGAGAUGAUAUGCUUGGAAUGAACUUAGUCUCUGCUAUGGUGGAUGUUGGUGGUAGUACUCUUCAGGGAACGCCGACUACAGGAGUAGGUCCAAGUGGUCUUGAUACUAAGAAGCCUCCAGUUCGAGCAUCUUCCAAGAUGGCCAAGAAAGCAUGUGUGGCAUAGGUGAAGAUAAUUAGAGUUCCGAGCGCAAUAUUUUCCUAUUUGAAUAAUGCUAACGCAUCAAUGUUGCUUUGGGAGUUUUUCUACUUUCUUUUUAUCCUUCUGGGUAUGCUAUGUUUUGUUCAGACAAUCUAUAAAAA